rnacentral:lncRNA from 1 species
AUCUGUUCUUCUAUCUUCUCACUCAAUUGUGUGGUUUCAAUUUCUUGCUCGGAAGCCAAUGUCGUGGUAGAAGUUUGAAGACUUUGAGAUAAGCAUUCGGAUGAUGUUUCAGGCACAGCUUUGGCUUGUUCAACUUCAUUCACUUCUGGUUCCAAGGCUGAUUCUGUUUUCUCCAGUUCAUGUUGUGGAUUUUCGACCUCUUUAGUCUCUUGAUUAGCAUCACUCUCACAAGUUUCUAGACUCGUCUUGACUGAGCUCAAAUUCGCAAGCUCCUCAUUCACCUUGGUGUUGUCUAAGCUUGUCUCAACUCCGACUUCUGUCAAAAUUUCGUGACUCUUGUCUUGACAAUCAUGCUUGGAUUCAUCAACAAUGUCCUUAAUUUUUUCUUCUGAUUCUGCGUCUUUGGUGCCUGUACUUACAGGGUCUCCAGACUCUUGAUCCUGUCUCCUAUCUUCCGAUUCUACGAUGACGGAUGCUUCUUGGUCCUUGAUUGAAUGAUCUUCAAACUCCAAGUUUUUCGCCUCUACCUGUUCCUUUGAUUCUCCUUCCUUCAGACAUUCUUUUGAGACGGAACUGUAGUCUUCCACCUAUCAAUACAUAGUUAAAAAGUUUCAAAAAUUAAAGAAAAUUUUAGAACAUCAUUAAAAAAGUCAUGAUGGAAUAAAAACAUGUUCUUUACCUCUUCAGACAAGAUGACAGCCUUGGUAACCUCAUAGGCAUUUUGUUCAACCUCGGGUUUGUCUGCCGGUUCCUCGUUUAUCUGUUUUUCACUUUCUUGGUUCUGAACCUCGGUAAUGGUUUCAUCGGCUUGGCUCUUGCUCAGUUCGGGGAUUGGUUUCUUACUUUGUCCUUCAUUAUCAUUCAU